rnacentral:rRNA from 1 species
UACAGAGGGGGCAAGCGUUAUUCGGAAUUAUUGGGCGUAAAGGGCGCGUAGGCGGCUUUGCAAGUGGCGGGUGAAAUCCCUCGGCUUAACCGAGGAACUGCCUGUCAAACUGCAUGGCUUGAGACCAGGAGAGGUGAGUGGAAUUCCCAGUGUAGCGGUGAAAUGCGUAGAUAUUGGGAGGAACACCGGUGGCGAAGGCGGCCCCCUGGACCGGUACUGACGCUGAGGCGCGAAAGCGUGGGUAGCAAACGGG